rnacentral:rRNA from 1 species
ACAGUCUCAGUUCGGAUUGAAGGCUGAAAUUCGCCUUCAUGAAGCCGGAAUUGCUAGUAAUGGCAGGUCAGCAUACUGCCGUGAAUACGUUCCCGGGCCUUGUACACACCGCCCGUCACACCAUGAGAGUCGGGGAUACCCGAAGCCUGUGAGCUAACAGUAAUGAAGCAGCAGUCGAAGGUAGAAUCAAUGAUUGGGGUGAAGUCGUAACAAGGUAAC